UCCCUGGUGGUCCAGAGGCUAAGACUCUGCACUCCCAAUCAAGGGGUCCCAAGUUCGAUCCUUGGUCAGGGAA
rnacentral:tRNA from 1 species